UGGCGGCGUGCCUAACACAUGCAAGUCGAACGGGAAAACAGGGGCAACUCUGUGAGUACAGUGGCGUACGGGUGAGUAACACGUGACUACCUACCCUCGAGUGGGGGAUAACCCCGGGAAACCGGGGCUAAUACCGCAUAACAUCGCAAGAUCAAAGGAGCAAUUCGCUUGAGGAGGGGGUCGCGGCUGAUUAGCUAGUUGGUGAGGUAACGGCCCACCAAGGCGAUGAUCGGUAGCCGGCCUGAGAGGGCGCACGGCCACACUGGAACUGAAACACGGUCCAGACUCCUACGGGAGGCAGCAGUGGGGAAUUUUGCGCAAUGGGGGAAACCCUGACGCAGCAACGCCGCGUGGAGGAUGAAGUCCCUUGGGACGUAAACUCCUUUCGACCCGGACGAUAAUGACGGUACGGGUGGAAGAAGCACCGGCUAACUUCGUGCCAGCAGCCGCGGUAAUACGAGGGGUGCGAGCGUCGUUCGGAAUUAUUGGGCGUAAAGGGCGCGUAGGCGGUGCGGUAAGUCACCUGUGAAAUCUCCCG
rnacentral:rRNA from 1 species